AUGCUCCCUUUGGCCUCAUAAAUACCAAAAUUAGAAUGAUAUAAAGAUUAGCAUGGCCCCUGUGCACAUGCUAUGCAAAUUCAUGAAGUAUUCCAUAUUUUU
ensembl:snRNA U6 U6 spliceosomal RNA